AAACCCUGUAAUAACUGGUGUGUAUACCAUUCUACAGGUGGCAUAGGUUAUGUUUUGCAAGAAUAUGUCCUCGGUAUUUUGUGUUUGCAUAUAAAUCUAUGUUAUUUAGAGUUAAUAAAGCUCAUCAAAGGUGAAA